rnacentral:rRNA from 1 species
GACGAACGCUGGCGGCGUGCUUAACACAUGCAAGUCGAACGGAAAGGCCCUGCUUUUGUGGGGUGCUCGAGUGGCGAACGGGUGAGUAACACGUGAGUAGCCUGCCCUUUACUUUGGGAUAACUUCAGGAAACUGGGGCUAAUACCGCAUAGGAGCUCCUGCUGCAUGGUGGGGGUUGGAAAGUUUCGGCGGUUGGGGAUGGACUCGCGGCUUAUCAGCUUGUUGGUGGGGUAGUGGCUUACCAAGGCUCUGACGGGUAGCCGGCCUGAGAGGGUGACCGGCCACAUUGGGACUGAGAUACGGCCCAGACUCCUACGGGAGGCAGCAGUGGGGAAUAUUGCACAAUGGGCGGAAGCCUGAUGCAGCAACGCCGCGUGCGGGAUGACGGCCUUCGGGGUGUAAACCGCUUUCGCCUGUGACGAAGCGUGAGUGACGGUAAUGGGUAAAGAAGCACCGGCUAACUACGUG